UUAGUUACUAACUUUAGUUUAACAGGUUCAAAUUUGGCAUCCUCAUAGUACCAGUUCAUUUCUAGACUCUAGAGCAAGGUGGAGCAGAGAAACAUAGACAAUAUAUUACUCUAGAGUAAUAUAUUGUCUAUGUUUCUCUGCUCCACCUUGCUCUAGAGUCUAGAAAUGAACUGGUACUAUGAGGAUGCCAAAUUUGAACCUGUUAAACUAAAGUUAGUAACUAA
rnacentral:misc_RNA from 1 species